UAUUGUAUAGGAAAAUAUUUACCGCUAUUUAUAUUAAAUGUCAUGUCAGUUUUGUGUGUUUAAAAAAAUAAUUUAAAAUUAUGACUAUAGAUAUUAAAUUUAAUUUAAAAAUUUUACUAUAAUUUUACUAAAAAUAAUUAAGAUACAAUUUAAAAAAAAAAUGUAAAUAAAAAUUUUAAAAGUGAAUAUUAAGUAUGUAUAAAGGUUUUAAUUAAAUUACCGGCGUUAAAAUGUAAAAAGUUAAAAUAAAACUGGUAAUUGUGCAGUUUUAAGGAAAAAUUAAAGGAAUCUUUCUUCUUUUUCCCGAACUAAAUUCAAAGAUGUCACAAUUGCAAUCAUAUAUAAUACAAUUCCUGCAAGAUGAAAGAUAGGCGCAGAACAUACAAAUAUUUUCGACUAUAUAAUGUAACCUUAGAUAUAGAAUGGUGAUGCAUACAUAUAUCUAAGUUUAUUUGAGCACCUGAUGCCUGACAGUCAUUACCACUAACUACAAUCGGCAAAAAAAAAAGCAUAUUUAACUCAAAAACAUAGAUUAGUAGUUUUUCUUUUCACCUAAGCGAGAUUACAUAUACCAGGAGCAAUUAUACCAGACAGUCAAACAGCAGCAUAGAACCGAAUAUACUAUCAACAAUCACAGAUAAUAUGUGGUGUCACCUUCCGGCAUAAAAUAAUAAUUAAGUGACAAAAAAAAAAAAACGAAUACAAUAAUGAAGAAAUGACAAAUGUAUAGAAACAUUGUAUUGAAACAACUGAUGGCAUGGAAGCAAAAUAAUAAAAGCAAAAAUUUAUUGUGUGAAAUUUUUACAAUAUUUACGUACACUAUAAUAUCUGCCUACACAAGAUGACGCAAAAUGAAACCAGGAGAAAAAACACAAAAAAACUUUUAUACUGGUUACUAUAUCUGGUAUAAUAAACUGUAAUGAAAAUGGCGGAAAAUUUAAUGGACAAAGGAAACUGUUUAAAAAAAUAUAUAGCAACUGAAAGGAAACAAAAAAUUCGAUCUUACUGUUUCGCAUAUCAUUUAACAUUUCAACACAAGAACUGUAAUAAUGUCAAUACAUAAAAUACAUAUAUUUGGUGUCACAAACUACACAAACUCAUAUGGUGAAAACAGCUAUACUCUUAUAAUGAAAUUAAGAAAAUAAAAAUAUUUUUUUGUGAGAGACCGAGAGAAAAAAACAUAAUAUGAUAAUGAAAAUUUUAUACCGUAUGUAACACAAAUGUACAAACAUAAUAAACAUUUUCAUAUAUCCUUUAGAUUAUAUUGAUACCUAUAACAUAUCUCAAAUGAUAUAGAAAAGGGACCUAAAUUUUCGAGAAUGAACAAUGAAAACUUAUUAAUUUGUUACUGCAAUAUGGCAACUCCCUCAUCAGAUUGUGUUAGACAUUCUAACUCAUUAUUAAUCAUUUAUAUAAUAAAUUA